AUGAACGCUAGCUACAGGCUUAACACAUGCAAGUCGAGGGGCAGCAUGGUCUUAGCUUGCUAAGGCUGAUGGCGACCGGCGCACGGGUGAGUAACACGUAUCCAACCUGCCGUCUACUCUUGGCCAGCCUUCUGAAAGGAAGAUUAAUCCAGGAUGGCAUCAUGAGUUCACAUGUCCGCAUGAUUAAAGGUAUUUUCCGGUAGACGAUGGGGAUGCGUUCCAUUAGAUAGUAGGCGGGGUAACGGCCCACCUAGUCAACGAUGGAUAGGGGUUCUGAGAGGAAGGUCCCCCACAUUGGAACUGAGACACGGUCCAAACUCCUACGGGAGGCAGCAGUGAGGAAUAUUGGUCAAUGGGCGAUGGCCUGAACCAGCCAAGUAGCGUGAAGGAUGACUGCCCUAUGGGUUGUAAACUUCUUUUAUAAAGGAAUAAAGUCGGGUAUGCAUACCCGUUUGCAUGUACUUUAUGAAUAAGGAUCGGCUAACUCCGUGCCAGCAGCCGCGGUAAUACGGAGGAUCCGAGCGUUAUCCGGAUUUAUUGGGUUUAAAGGGAGCGUAGAUGGAUGUUUAAGUCAGUUGUGAAAGUUUGCGGCUCAACCGUAAAAUUGCAGUUGAUACUGGAUGUCUUGAGUGCAGUUGAGGCAGGCGGAAUUCGUGGUGUAGCGGUGAAAUGCUUAGAUAUCACGAAGAACUCCGAUUGCGAAGGCAGCCUGCUAAGCUGCAACUGACAUUGAGGCUCGAAAGUGUGGGUAUUCAACAGGAUUAGAUACCCUGGUAGUCCACACGGUAAACGAUGAAUACUCGCUGUUUGCGAUAUACGGCAAGCGGCCAAGCGAAAGCGUAAGUAUUCCACCUGGGGAGUGCGCCGGCAACGG
rnacentral:rRNA from 1 species